GACGAACGCUGGCGGCGUGCUUAACACAUGCAAGUCGAACGGAAAGGCCCUGCUUGUGUGGGGUGCGCGAGGGGCGAAGGGGUGAGUAACACGUGUGUAACCUGCCCUUGACUUUGGGAUAACUUCAGGAAACUGGGGCUAAUAGCGGAUAGCAGCUCCGGCUGCGGGGUGGGGGUUGGAAAGGUUCGGCGGUGGGGUAAGGACUCGCGGCUUAUGCGCUUGUUGGUGGGGAAGUGUAUUACCGAGGCUUUGGCGGGUCGCCGGCCUGAGGGGGUGGCCGGCCAGAUUGCGACUGAGCUACGGACCAGACUCCUACGGGCGGCAGUAGUGGGGAAUAUUGCACAAUGGGCGGCAGCCUGAUGCAGCACCGCCGCGUGCGUGAUGACGGCCUUCUGGUUGUAAACCGCUUUCGCCUGUGACGCAGCGUGAGUGACGGUAAUGGGUAAAGAAGCACCGGCUAACUACGUG
rnacentral:rRNA from 1 species